rnacentral:rRNA from 1 species
ACAGCAGCAGCCGCGGUAAUACAGAGGGUGCGAGCGUUAAUCGGAUUUACUGGGCGUAAAGCGUGCGUAGGCGGCUUUUUAAGUCGGAUGUGAAAUCCCUGAGCUUAACUUAGGAAUUGCAUUCGAUACUGGGAAGCUAGAGUAUGGGAGAGGAUGGUAGAAUUCCAGGUGUAGCGGUGAAAUGCGUAGAGAUCUGGAGGAAUACCGAUGGCGAAGGCAGCCAUCUGGCCUAAUACUGACGCUGAGGUACGAAAGCAUGGGGAGCAAACAGGAUUAGAGACCCGUGUAGUCCCUGUCUCUUAUAA